GCUGGGCGCGGUGACUCACGCCUGUAAUCCCAGCAUUUUGGGAGGCUGAGGCGGGUGGAUCACCUGAGGUCAGGAGUUUGAGACCAGCCUGGCCAACAUGGUGAAACCCCGUCUCUA
ensembl:misc_RNA Metazoa_SRP Metazoan signal recognition particle RNA